rnacentral:rRNA from 1 species
AAUGAGCCUGCGAGUUGUGGUGUCUGGCAAGGUUAAGCAAACGCGAAGCCGUAGCGAAAGCGAGUCUGAAUAGGGCGCUUAGUCAGAUGCUGCAGACCCGAAACGAAGUGAUCUAUCCAUGAGCAAGUUGAAGCUAGUGUAAGAACUAGUGGAGGACUGAACCCAUAGGCGUUGAAAAGCCCCGGGAUGACUUGUGGAUAGGGGUGAAAGGCCAAUCAAACUUCGUGAUAGCUGGUUCUCUCCGAAAUAUAUUUAGGUAUAGCGUUGUGUCGUAAUAUAAGGGGGUAGAGCACUGAAUGGGCUAGGGCAUACACCAAUGUACCAAACCCUAUCAAACUCCGAAUACCUUAUAUGUAAUCACAGCAGUCAGGCGGCGAGUGAUAAAAUCCGUCGUCAAGAGGGAAACAACCCAGACUACCAGCUAAGGUCCCUAAAUCUUACUUAAGUGGAAAACGAUGUGAAGUUACUUAAACAACCAGGAGGUUGGCUUAGAAGCAGCCAUCCUUUAAAGAAAGCGUAAUAGCUCACUGGUCUAGUGAUUUUGCGCGGAAAAUAUAACGGGGCUAAAGUAAGUACUGAAGCUGUAGACUUAGUUUACUAAGUGGUAGGAGAGCGUUCUAUUUGCGUCGAAGGUAUACCGGUAAGGAGUGCUGGAGCGAAUAGAAGUGAGCAUGCAGGCAUGAGUAGCGAUAAUUAAUGUGAGAAUCAUUAACGCCGUAAACCCAAGGUUUCCUACGCGAUGCUCGUCAUCGUAGGGUUAGUCGGGUCCUAAGUCGAGUCCGAAAGGGGUAGACGAUGGCAAAUUGGUUAAUAUUCCAAUACCAACAUUAGUGUGCGAUGGAAGGACGCUUAGGGCUAAGGGGGCUAGCGGAUGGAAGUGCUAGUCUAAGGUCGUAGGAGGUUAUACAGGCAAAUCCGUAUAACAAUACUCCGAGAACUGAAAGGCUUUUUGAAGUCUUCGGAUGGAUAGAAGAACCCCUGAUGCCGUCGAGCCAAGAAAAGUUUCUAAGUUUAGCUAAUGUUGCCCGUACCGUAAACCGACACAGGUGGGUGGGAUGAGUAUUCUAAGGCGCGUGGAAGAACUCUCUUUAAGGAACUCUGCAAAAUAGCACCGUAUCUUCGGUAUAAGGUGUGGUUAGCUUUGUAUUAGGAUUUACUCCGAAAGCAAGGAAACUUACAACAAAGAGUCCCUCCCGACUGUUUACCAAAAACACAGCACUCUGCUAACUCGUAAGAGGAUGUAUAGGGUGUGACGCCUGCCCGGUGCUCGAAGGUUAAUUGAUGGGGUUAGCAUUAGCGAAGCUCUUGAUCGAAGCCCGAGUAAACGGCGGCCGUAACUAUAACGGUCCUAAGGUAGCGAAAUUCCUUGUCGGUUAAAUACCGACCUGCAUGAAUGGCGUAACGAGAUGGGAGCUGUCUCAAAGAGGGAUCCAGUGAAAUUGUAGUGGAGGUGAAAAUUCCUCCUACCCGCGGCAAGACGGAAAGACCCCGUGGACCUUUACUACAGCUUGACACUGCUACUUGGAUAAGAAUGUGCAGGAUAGGUGGGAGGCUUUGAGUAUAUGACGCCAGUUGUAUAUGAGCCAUUGUUGAGAUACCACUCUUUCUUAUUUGGGUAGCUAACCAGCUUGAGUUAUCCUCAAGUGGGACAAUGUCUGGUGGGUAGUUUGACUGGGGCGGUCGCCUCCCAAAUAAUAACGGAGGCUUACAAAGGUUGGCUCAGAACGGUUGGAAAUCGUUC